AUUGAACGCUGGCGGCAUGCUUUACACAUGCAAGUCGAACGGUAACAGGUUAAGCUGACGAGUGGCGAACGGGUGAGUAAUGCAUCGGAACGUGCCCGGUCGUGGGGGAUAACGCAGCGAAAGCUGCGCUAAUACCGCAUACGAUCUGAGGAUGAAAGCGGGGGACCGUAAGGCCUCGCGCGAUCGGAGCGGCCGAUGUCAGAUUAGGUAGUUGGUGAGGUAAAGGCUCACCAAGCCAACGAUCUGUAGCUGGUCUGAGAGGACGACCAGCCACACUGGGACUGAGACACGGCCCAGACUCCUACGGGAGGCAGCAGUGGGGAAUUUUGGACAAUGGGCGAAAGCCUGAUCCAGCAAUGCCGCGUGCAGGAAGAAGGCCUUCGGGUUGUAAACUGCUUUUGUACGGAGCGAAAAGGCUCUCUCUAAUACAGGGGGCUCAUGACGGUACCGUAAGAAUAAGCACCGGCUAACUACGUGCCAGCAGCCGCCGCCG
rnacentral:rRNA from 1 species